GAAUCUCUAUUGCAAAUAAUAACUAUCUUAAUAGUAUUCAAUCGAAUUUGUUACAUGACCCAACUUUCGUACGUUCAAGAAAACAAGGAAACCCUAUCCCACAAACCAUAUCUCUCGGUGAUGAGACUGCGAACUCUAGCCAAGAUAUUGUUAAUCUUUUUGGAAAUUACUUUAGCUCUGUGUAUAGUCCUAAUAUUAAUUCUUAUAGUUCUAACUAGCCCCUCCUUUCAAAGCACUGUAGAUUUAAAUAAUAUAGACUUUACGAUCGGUGAUAUUUUUGAAGGUUUUAGUCUUCUUAAAGCUAAGUGCACAUAUGUCUC